GAGGUGAGAAAAGUCCUGAUCUCCAGAACGAAAGGCCCUGGUCACUCUUUUGGGAUGGGGAGUAUAGAGAAAGACCACAGAGAGCUGCUACUGACGACUCCUGGGACAGGGCCCUGUAUAGUGAGAGGUGAGCCCCAGUGUGGGAAGAAGAAAUCUCUUCUUUCUCUUUCUCAGCGGGUGUUUUGGUAUAGUACAAUAUCUAUGCUUAGUGUAUAUGUAGGUUCAAUUUCUUCUCUUCUCCUCCUCCUUCCUCCUUCUCUUUCCUUCCUCCUUUUCAUCUUCUAUUUUUUGUCUGUUUGUUUGUUUCUUCUAUAGUAAAAAAUUUCCCAAGUCCUUGGUGCCUAGAUGAUUUUUGCCUGACACAUUUCACUAAUUGGAGUUUCGGAAUCACAGUUUCUUUUUUGGGUGCAGAAUUUUUAAAAAAUAUCUAAGCACCUAAAUUAUUGUAAAAGCAGCUGGUCACCAGCACCCCUUGUAGACAGGUGAGAUGGUACCAGAGAAGAGAAGGCUUCAGAUUUCUACACUUCACUGUGUCAGAACUCGGAGCUCUAUUGAGAUACAUGUAGGAAAGAAGAACCUUCAUGGAGGGAGCGGCCAUGUAACAAUGAGCCGAAAACACGGACAAUAUGAAGAGCAAGUCCAGGGAGUAAUGGAACCAUACCCUGGAAGCAUGAAGUUACAAAUCUCCCAACCAAGCUGAGCCCUGAGAAUGAGAUAGUUCCUUUGGCCAAACUGCUCUGAAAAUAAGGGAAAAGACUCUGACUCACGUUGAAGGUAAGGAGCGUAUCUGCCUCUCUUCUGCUUAAACCACCGGGAUCUCACUAAGGAUCGGGACACUAACACCGAUGGCUUAACUUUGGGCACAAUCCUCAGCAGAAAGGCCCCAAGCCGGAAUUCCAGGGUGGGGAGGUGGGGGACUAUAGCCUUUUGAUUUGGUCAUUCAAACAUCUUGUCAGGCAGAUGUAGAAAGGAGACUCACCUCGAAGUAAAUUGUAGGUUGAAGUAUUUGGUUUCUUUAUCUGUCAGGUUAAGGCUUUGAAAGGCAGAUCUGUGGUCUAGGAAACUACAUAUGAGAGUUGGAGCUCUGAAAAUUCAAUAAUAUAAGGAAAUUUAUAACCCGGAUUGAGACAAUUACUUUUAAUUGGCUGUUUUACUAUCGAGUGCAGUAACCCUCCAUUUUGUGUAAGUGGGCCUGGGUUAGAAUGCAAUCUUUCUGGAAAAAGGGCUGUUUUCUGUUUCUUCAAGAUGGCCUAGAGGAAUCUCAAAAGUUAAAAUAACAUAAAACUUGCCAUCUCUUGGUUUUACCAUGAAUGUUUCUUUAUUCCAAGCACUUCUGCAUAUAGGAAAGCAUUCUAACAAAGGUGCCAUUACAGGCCGGCACCAGGAAGCAAAGAAGCCAAAUGUUCAGAGUUGGACAAAACAGCUAAAGAACCAGAGCCACGAUACUAGUCCAAAAGAAAGAAGAGUUCUUAUGAAAGAGAAAUAGAAAAUAGGAACCAGGGGCACCUGGGUGGCUCAGUCGUUAGGCGUCUGCCUUAGGCUCAGGGCGUGAUCCCAGGGUCCUGGGAUUGAGCUCCGCAUCAGGCUCCUGCUCCGCUGGGAGCCUGCUUCUUCCUCUCCCACUCCCCCUGCUUUUGUUCCCUCUCUCGCUGGCUGUCUCUCUC
rnacentral:lncRNA from 1 species